CCCUUAGAUGUUCUGGGCCGCACGCGUGCUACACUGAGUGGAUCAGCGGGUCAGGUUGCGCGAAAGCGUUUCCUAAUCUUUAAAUCCGCUCGUGAUGGGGAUUGACGGUUGCAAUUUUCUGUCAUGAACGAGGAAUACCUUGUAAGCGCGGGUCAUCAUCCCGCGCUGAAUACGUCCCUGCCCUUUGUACACACCGCCCGUCGCUCCUACCGAUUGGUAUAUAAGGUAAAAAUCUCGGAGAAGUUGGGAUUUCAUGCAGGUUUACUUGCAUGUGCCUGGCCUCAAAGUUAUUUAAAUCUUCUGUACUAGAGGAAGGAGAAGUCGUAACA
rnacentral:rRNA from 1 species